GCUCUGUGUGCACAAGUGAGCAACCCUUGAUGAUUUUGUUUGCUUACACCAUUUCUUCCUCUAUGUUGAGGAAGAACAGAGGUGUUCCGUGAGGCCCUGGAAGUCAAGGGAGCAGGGACGGACCAGGCUGCGGGCUGUCCUAGCUGAGGAAACCCAGGAAGAAGAAAAAAAAAAAUCUUUUCCCCCUAAGUCUCUGUUUCAGUCCUGAUGAAGGAUCCUGAUUGCUUCUGAUUAYGUCCCAUGCUGUAUCGUGAACCACUGCUAUUGCCAGGAAAAAUGUUCUUUGCUGUUGCUGAGAGCUCUUGUUGCAGGCUCUGCUUUGGAGAGGGAGCCCAGGCUGAGACAGGAGUGACUCCAGAAAGCUGACUCUCAGGCUGGAUUCCAGAACUGGUUCACUUGCCAAUCAUCCUUAGCUGGUAGUAGGUAUGAUAGUGGUAAUCCUGGCAUUCUGGGGCCUCACAAUUGCUGAAACUUUCACUAGUAGUAGAUUAGUGGUAGAUUAGGAGGAGGUACAUGCAGAAGGUAAAGCAUUGGAUUAUUAGCUUAGCUGAGACUCUGAACGGCAUGGGGGUAAUAGGACUGUUUUUUCUUAUUAUAAGGAUUGUCGAGUUGGAU
rnacentral:lncRNA from 1 species